rnacentral:lncRNA from 1 species
AUGGGGCUUUUUUUGUUAGAUAUGGCUUUUAUGCCAAAUCUCUUUUUCUCUGUUAUACUGGAUUAUAUAAAAAAUUCACUUGCCUAUGACUUUCUAAUGCCAUCAUUCUCAUUGACACUCCUGGAACUAAUCUCUUAUGUCCUUGUGCUAGUAUUGGUGUUCUUGUGCUUUUACAUGAUAAUUGAAUCUUUGGCAGUCUUUUUUAAACAUUUAAAGGCAAACAUCAGGCAAGCUACUACAAAAAAUGAUCUAACAUUAAAAAUGAAUUAUCUAGAGACUAAACUAGAUAGAAUGGAAAGUCAAUAUGAGGAAUUACUCAAGGCUAAAGGAACAAUGACAGAAAAUAAAGAACAUGAAGCAACUAAAUUAGAGGGUGCAACUAAAUCAGAUAAACCAACUAAAUUAGAAAUGGAAACUGAAGCAUUAGAAAGCACACCAGCUCAUAUAUUUCCUUUAAGGGAGGUACCUACAGUGUCCCCAGAGCAUGGUGUACUGAAUCUCACAUGCCACAAAAGGUUUAUGCAAGCUGAUAGAGAUAGUUUUAAGAAAAAUUAUCCAAAGUAUGAAGAAGAACCAAUGGGAGUUGUAAAGCAGUUCAAGCACUUAAGUAAGCUUUACAAUCCUUCUUAUUUGGACUUUGACAUCCUUAUGGAUGAAUUAUUGACAAAGAAGGAGAAACAGCAGAUCAUAGAGGACACUAAUAGGAACCCUCAAAUUACCAAUUGGCCAACCAAGGAUCCUGGGUGGGAAACUAACUCAUUUGUGGGGUACAGAGUCUUAAUUAUAGCCAGGGAGGCAAUAGUUGAAACUAUGAAGCAAAAUUCCAGAUGCCCAGGAACGUGGUCUAAAUUUGAACACCUAAAGCAAGAAGUGGGAGAGACUCCCUCCACUUUCCUUGAUAGAAUUAUUGAGUGUGCUGAAAAAUGGAUUGGGUUGGAUAUUUUAACAGAGGAAAACGUAAAUGACAUUCCCAGACAGUUUGUGAAAAAUGCAUGGCCUGUGAUCCAAAAUUAUUUUCAAAGUAACUGUCCAAAUUGGUUUGAUAUGGGUCUUGACAAAAUUUGGAGAAUUGCUAAUUAUGCUAAUUAUGUUUUCCAAGAUGAGAAAGAUAGGUAA